rnacentral:ribozyme from 1 species
GAAAAACUGAAACAUGGAUACCCCCAAAAAAGGAAGGAACUGACAGUUUGAACUCAUACUUAUCUCAUAAGAGUUUGUGUCCUUCUCUUCUGUGUUUUUUUUUCCCAAUAGAUUGGUGUGGGUUGGUGAUUUCUUCUUUUUUUGAGGGGGAGGAGUUCACAAAAAAAAAGGAA